CUGAAGUGCUUUAUAAAAGUUUGAAAAAGUUUUACGAGUCAAUUACUGUUUUUACCAAAAAAGUUCCUUGUUUUCUUUGCGAAGAAUACGAGCAAAAUUUUCUCGAACCUUUCAUGUCCCUCAUGUACAUGUGCUCUGUUAGUUUGCCGGAAAGUUUCUAUGCUUAUCUAACUUUUAACUACGAACAUGAAAAGAGCAAGAAAAAAUCAAAAGUAACACGUGAAAGCCGAAUAAUCCCGAACGUCAUCUACGCCGUCGAAUCGUUCGAAACGUGUUUGAUCGUUUUAUCCAAAAAAACAAAAAAAAACUUUUCGAAGUUUGUAAAACGAAGCACUGCUAGAGACUUCCGACUUUUACAUAAAGAACUUGAAAAAAUAAGCGAAAAUGAAGAAGAGACUUCUCAAAAGAAAAAUAAAAAACUUAAAACGGAAAAUCUCAACCGCCAAAGUAUUUAAUACCUAUU